CAUGGACUCCACACUUUCCUCCAUUGAGGAGUUUCGCAGAGAUAAUAAUUAUGAUGAGGAGGCUGUCUUAGUUAGUGAAGGUGGAAUUAUGAACAAUUUGAAAAACUCAACUCUUCUUGAUCUCAGUCAUGCACAGGAUAUAGCAAUGCAGCAGCCUCCAAACAUCUCCUCCAUACUUGAACAAUCAUUUGACACUGAUGAAGAAAAAGAGACAAAAUCAUUUUCUUUGUCACCAAUAAG